AUUGAACGCUGGCGGCAUGCCUUACACAUGCAAGUCGAACGGCAGCACGGGAGCAAUCCUGGUGGCGAGUGGCGAACGGGUGAGUAAUAUAUCGGAACGUGCCCAGUCGUGGGGGAUAACGCAGCGAAAGCUGUGCUAAUACCGCAUACGAUCUACGGAUGAAAGCGGGGGAUCGCAAGACCUCGCGCGAUUGGAGCGGCCGAUAUCAGAUUAGCUAGUUGGUGGGGUAAAGGCCCACCAAGGCGACGAUCUGUAGCUGGUCUGAGAGGACGACCAGCCACACUGGAACUGAGACACGGUCCAGACUCCUACGGGAGGCAGCAGUGGGGAAUUUUGGACAAUGGGCGCAAGCCUGAUCCAGCAAUGCCGCGUGCAGGAUGAAGGCCUUCGGGUUGUAAACUGCUUUUGUACGGAACGAAACGGCCCUUUCUAAUACAGGGGGCUAAUGACGGUACCGUAAGAAUAAGCACCGGCUAACUACGUGCCAGCAGCCGCCGUAAGAC
rnacentral:rRNA from 1 species